rnacentral:rRNA from 1 species
GACGAACGCUGGCGGCGUGCCUAACACAUGCAAGUCGAACGAAGUGGCGAACGGGUGAGUAAUGCGUAAUCAACCUGCCCUUCAGAGGGGGAUAACAGUUGGAAACGACUGCUAAUACCGCAUACUGAAGGAGGGGAUUGCUUCUGAUUAGCUAGUGGGAGGGGUAACGGCCCACCAAGGCAAAGGUCAGUAGGCGGUCUGUGAGGAUGAACGGCCAAAUUGGGAAUGAGGAACGGCCCCAACUCCUACGGGAGGCAGCAGGGGGGAAUCUUCCGCAAUGGACGAAAGGCUGACGGAGCAACGCCGCGGGAGUGAUGGCGGCCUUCGGGUUGUAAAGCUCUGUUAAUCGGGACGCGGUACCGGAAUAGAAAGCCACGGCUAACUACGUGCCAGCAGCCGCGGUAAUUC